rnacentral:lncRNA from 1 species
CGGUAUUCGAAAUGUCUCGUUUCAUUGCUAUUACAACAAAUAUGUCAUAAUAACAUGACAGAGAGUUUUGUUUCGGAAUAUUUUAGACAAAUAUACAAAAAUCAAAUUUUAGACAAUGUACCCUCCUAAGACUGGAAAUGGCUAGUCACAUAUAGUUAACGGCGUUUUUCUCACAAUGACGUUCUACCUCCAUAAGCCUGGAUAUGUCGUGGCUGGUCACAUAUUAGCA